GUAAAUCUGUGAUGUACGCGUUGUCCUUUCACUGUGUUGACCGAACAUUUUUAUUGAUAUCUAGGGAUCCUGCUUGUAUCAAAGUUGGUAACAUGCCUUUUCUUUUGGUAGUUCAAUACUGCGAUCGAGGAACCCACCUGCUUAUCUUGCGGGUUCAAUACUCUAGGACGAUUACCGGCAUCGACGGAUUUUAC
rfam:Enterococcus faecalis V583, complete genome.